rnacentral:rRNA from 1 species
UACGUAGGGUGCAAGCGUUGUCCGGAAUUAUUGGGCGUAAAGAGCUCGUAGGCGGUCUGUCACGUCGGAUGUGAAAAUCCAGGGCUUAACCCUGGACCUGCAUUCGAUACGGGCAGACUAGAGUUCGGUAGGGGGGACUGGAAUUCCUGGUGUAGCGGUGAAAUGCGCAGAUAUCAGGAGGAACACCGGUGGCGAAGGCGGGUCUCUGGGCCGAUACUGACGCUGAGGAGCGAAAGCGUGGGGAGCGAACAGG